rnacentral:rRNA from 1 species
GCGGCAGACGGGUGAGUAACGCGUGGGAACGUACCUUUUGCUACGGAAUAACUCAGGGAAACUUGUGCUAAUACCGUAUGUGCCCGAAAGGGGAAAGAUUUAUCGGCAAAGGAUCGGCCCGCGUUGGAUUAGCUAGUUGGUGAGGUAAAGGCUCACCAAGGCGACGAUCCAUAGCUGGUCUGAGAGGAUGAUCAGCCACACUGGGACUGAGACACGGCCCAGACUCCUACGGGAGGCAGCAGUGGGGAAUAUUGGACAAUGGGCGCAAGCCUGAUCCAGCCAUGCCGCGUGAGUGAUGAAGGCCCUAGGGUUGUAAAGCUCUUUCACCGGUGAAGAUAAUGACGGUAACCGGAGAAGAAGCCCCGGCUAACUUCGUGCCAGCAGCCGCGGUAAUACGAAGGGGGCUAGCGUUGUUCGGAUUUACUGGGCGUAAAGCGCACGUAGGCGGACUUUUAAGUCAGGGGUGAAAUCCCGGGGCUCAACCCCGGAACUGCCUUUGAUACUGGAAGUCUUGAGUAUGGUAGAGGUGAGUGGAAUUCCGAGUGUAGAGGUGAAAU